ACGCUCGACACCUACGGGAAGCAGCAGUGGGGAAUAUUGCACAAUGGGGGAAACCCUGAUGCAGCAACGCCGCGUGAAGGAAGACGGUUUUCGGAUUGUAAACUUCUGUUCUUAGUGAAGAUAGUGACGGUAGCUAAGGAGCAAGCCACGGCUAACUACGUGCCAGCAGCCGCGGUAAUCUGAGCGGGCUGGCAAGGC
rnacentral:rRNA from 1 species